GGCCUGAGAGGGUGAACGGCCACAAGGGGACUGAGAUACGGCCCUUACUCCUACGGGAGGCAGCAGUGGGGAAUAUUGGACAAUGGGGGCAACCCUGAUCCAGCAAUUCUGUGUGCACGAAGAAGGUUUUCGGAUUGUAAAGUGCUUUCAGCAGGGAAGAAGAAAGUGACGGUACCUGCAGAAGAAGCGACGGCUAAAUACGUGCCAGCAGCCGCGGUAAUACGUAUGUCGCAAGCGUUAUCCGGAAUUAUUGGGCAUAAAGGGCAUCUAGGCGGCCCUGUAAGUCUAGGGUGAAAACCUGCGGCUCAACCGCAGGCCUGCCCCGGAAACUACAGGGCUAGAGUAUCGGAGAGGUGGACGGAACUGCACGAGUAGAGGUGAAAUUCGUAGAUAUGUGCAGGAAUGCCGAUGAUGAAGAUAGUUCACUGGACGGUAACUGACGCUGAAGUGCGAAAGCUAGGGGAGCAAACAGGAUUAGAUACCCUGGUAGUCCUAGCUGUAAACGAUGAUUACUGGGUGUGGGCAUGAAGAGUGUCCGUGCCGAAGCAAAUGCGAUAAGUAAUCCGCCUGGGGAGUACGGCCGCAAGGCUGAAACUCAAAGGAAUUGACGGG
rnacentral:rRNA from 1 species